UGUCACUCCUCACUGUUCUCACCAGCCAGAUGCAAGGAUUAUUCAAUCAGGGACAUUCUUGGCUAAGCAAUCACAUGAUGGUGGCAAAUUAUGGAGUUGCAAAGUCCCCCUACAUGUUGAAACUUCAAGAGAACAAUGCAAAGGCUGGUUGAGAGAAGGAAUGGCGUGGAGGAUUCAAGUGCUUAGUAAUCCUCACCAACAUUCAACAAACUGAUGCAAGGGAAGUACCUAAAAGUACCUAUUGAGCUCAUGAACAAAGAAAAGCUUUGUCUCAACUCCUAAAUGGAGGCAAGAAGCCAGAAGAAAGGGGGAGACAAGCUCAGGUCAUAAGAAGAAGCUCAAAGGUGAUUUGACGGUGAAGCAACUGGCGCCAAUCCAAGUCGUUCAUUGCCUCACCUCUGAUCAAAAGUGGAGUUUGCAAGUUGUGGAUUCACUCUUGCAUUACUCAGUACCAACCGGAUCAAAGAAGCUCAGUUCCAAGUGUGUGAUUGAGCUUCCAUAAUCCGGACUGUGUCUUACCAAGUGGGGAUUCAAUUGGAGUCCACUCCUGACCAUUCUUAUAAAAGGGAAGCACCUUAAACUCAUCUAAAUACAUUCAUGAUUGUCCUUAUACUUAAACUAUUAUUGAGUUUGAUGUGAUGAGUGCAUUUCCUUAAGAACUGAUGCACUUUUGAAAUGAUGUAUCAGGUACCAAAAUAAGCUUGAGCCUCACUGAAGAUGAUGAUGAUGAUCCGGUCGUGUCCUAGCCUAUCUAAGAUGGCCAAAGAAGUCAGUUGAGAGGGGGAGACCCAAACCAGGUCUAUGGUCCAUGAAGAGGUCAAGCCAAGUUCUAAAGAACAAGUAACUUUGCUGGGGGUUCAGAGAAGAUGGUCUGGUCGUUUCCUUGCCUUCCUAAGGUGGCUUGAAGCCAGCUGAGAGGGGGAGACCCUAAACCGGCCACAAAAUGAUCCAGCCUGCUACUUGUGCUCAAGGAUAGCAAGUUAUGGUGAUUCAUACUUGCUACACCUAUUAGGCCACGAUCCAGAGCCUAAGGACUCCACCAUGAUGAAUCUGAAGUUCCUUAGGCUCACUGGCCAAUCCCUAAGCUUUGUGGAAACUCCACUCUUUUUCCCUUAGCAAGUUUUGUCCCAAUGGGUUUUCUUGCUAAGGUUUUUAAUGAGGGAGCUUCUUCAAGGUUCCAAGCUUGUCCAAGGAUCUCCUAUGGUCAAGCUUGAGGGGGAGUGUUGGAAUGAAGAAGUAAGAAGCUGGAGUUGAUGAAGAGACCAAGCAUCAAGAGCAAGCAAAUCCGGAACAAGCAGAUUUGAAUCUGUCCGUACAGUUUUGGCUUGCAAGUAACCAAACCUAACCUAGAGUGUCUUGGAAGUCAAGGCAAGUGGGAAACUCGUCCAGCUGAGCUUUCUGAAGCAUAUUUGAAGUUUAAAUUAAGUGUGAGACCGUUGGAGAGAGAUCUGGCAAGUUGGAGAAUUAAUUAAGAUAAAAGUCACAUGUGCAUAAGGAGAUGAGCCUGCUGUCACUUUCACCCAACCAGACUGUGCCCAUCUCUCUCCUGUCACUCUCUACUCCCUCUGGUCGAGAUUCUCCUUGGCUGCAUCCUCCUGGCUCCAUCAGAAACCCUACAAUAGUAUUAGUUUAGUAAAUCUGUACUUUAACAAUUGUUUAAUCACUUGCAACUUGUAAUUUGGCUAUAAAGCCACCCCAUUGUAACCAUUACGAAAUUAAGCUGAAUGGGGGAGUUUCCCCUUUCUUCUUCACCA